rnacentral:lncRNA from 1 species
UUUGAUCAGUGCAUUUUGAUGCACGUUCUUCCAUGUUUGUACUUAAGCAUUUCUUCGGUUUGUUUUGAUUAUUUUUAUAUUUUAAUGUGUUUUCAUAAUUUAUGUUAUUUUUGCACUUAUUUAAUUUUCGUAUUUAAUUUUCAGCAUUAGCAGCUUUCGUGAGAAAAAUUAUAUCUUGAGCUAGGAGUAUCGGAUUGAGA